ensembl:lncRNA
CGAGGAUCAAACUCGGGAUCUUGCGCUUGCAAGGCAGGCGGCGAAACCACUGAGCUGAAUCCCUGGCCCUCUUGAGCCGUUAGUUUUAAAAGAGAUGACGGUUUAAAAAAAGUUGUAGAUUUCUCCCCUGGCUAAGCCAGAACUAUUACAUAGUCGCCGUGGGGGCUAGUAGCUUCUAGGCUUCUGGGUAAUUAGAUAAGAGCGUCCUUUCAGAAAGUGUCUGCUUUUGGAAAUAUUUCGAAUGUUGCAUAAGGUAUAUCUAAUCUACUGCUGCUACAAGAUUUGUAACUAACCGCAGAUUGCAUUUUAAAAUACUCAAACAUGCUGCCUAUGUUAUAUUUUGUUAAUUAUGAAAAUGCCCGAAGGGGAUCCAAACUUCUAGAUUUAUUUAUUUAUUUAUUUGCUUCUUGUUAAUGUGCUUGACCUAGAUACAAAUGUAAACAGAGAAGGAAAUGUUCUGGCGGCCCAGGUUCAUUGACGACAGAAUUGUCUGACAGACACAUGGUCUGGUUAAAAUAUAGUAUACAAUUGAAGUAUUCUGUCCUGCUUCUCAUGUGCCAGUAAUUUGUAAAUUACUUUGGCAUUUUUUUACUUCACCUUCACUAUUUUGCUGUUUUCUGCUUGUCACUUUUUUUGAGAGAGAGAGAGAGAGACGGGGAGAGAGACAGGGAGAGGAAGAGAGAGAGAAUCUCGCUGUGUAGUUUAGGCUGGCCUUGAACUCACAUGUAGCCCAGGAGUAGCAAUCUUCCUGCCUCAGCUUCCCAAGUGCUAGGAUUAUAGGCAUGCGCCACCAUGCCCGGAUCUGCUUGUCACUUCUAUGAAUAGGCAGGUAUUCUUCAACAUGUAUUAAUAGUAUUUUGGUAUAACUAUGUAAGUUUACACUUUAUAUUCAUUUCUUUUUUUUUAAACAGGGCCUCCCUGUGUAGCUCAGGCUGGCCUCGAACUCAAGGGCGAUCCUCCUGCCUCAGCCUCCCAAGUGCUGGGAUUACAGGCAUGUGCUACCAUGCCCGGCUUUCAUUUAUUUUUUAAUAUGUUUGGGAUCAAACUUGGGACCUUGCACUUGCAAGGCAGGACCCGGGACCACUGAGCUAAAUCCCCAGCCCUGUACCUAAAUUAAGGUACCUGCUUAAAGCAUGAAUAACAUUUACAAAAUUCAUUUAUUUCUUUGUGUAUUUGUUAAUUGUCUUCCUUAUACAAAAGUGAAAGCUAAAUAGUAGGAAGCUUUUCUGCCUUGUGCAUUGUAUCCCAGUGCCUGUACCAGAAUGUGGGAGGUACACAUGCCUUGGUUACUUUUCUUGUUUCUGAGACAAUACCCACCACUCAAAGUUAAAGGAGGAAAAAGUUUUAUUGGAUCACCUAUUAUAGAAGUUUCAGUUGAGAAUCGGCUGGCUCCAAGGCAAAGUGGCUUGGCAGAGGGGCAUCACAGAGGAGAAAUAGUCCUUAGCAAGCAGCAAGAAGCAGCAGUAGCAGCAGCAGAAGUCUGCCUCUGCCUUUUAUCCCAGUCUUUUGGGUGGUGUUACCCACACCUAGGACUAUGCUAAACCCAUCCUGGACUCGGUUAGUAAUCAUGCCCUAAAUCCCAGCAUUACACACCCUAAAUCUCAGCAUCACACACCCUAAAUCCAGCCACCUCUGCAAAGCCCCACCUCUGACUACAGGAGGAUUUGGGAGAACAUCUAGAUACAAGCCAUAACGACACACACCCCCAAAUUUUUCUUGCUAAUUGAAACAUUUGAUCCAUCUAAAAUCAUAAAUACUGUCGAGAAGAAGAGGUUUUUUUUGUUUUGUUUUGUUUUGUUGGUACCAGGGAUCGAACUCCGGUCCUUGUGCUUGCAAGGCAGAAUAUUGUCUACAUCCUAUAAUUUCUGAGAAAAAAAUGAUUCUUAAAGUGAAGUAGAGUCACUUUAUAUACAUUUUAUACUAAAGGAAGUACCAAUAUGUGUUUACUAAUAGAGGCUUACUGAUAAUGCAUAUGAAUGCAGUUUGAGUAGACUGGCACUACAUCAUGGAGGAAGUUAACCCACCAUAGGUUGAUUUUUUAUACUAGUUUUAAAGGAGAAAUUAUGCCAUUCUAGGUAACUAUACUAUUUGUCUUUGUUUACAAUGUGUUGAAGAAUGUUAUGAAAUUCAUCAAUAAUUUCCAGGAUGUCCUAUUUCCUAUUUUUCAGAGAUAAAUUUUUCAAAUGUCCCUUAAUUAUACCUUAUUUUGCUUAUUCUAUAGAAAUAAUAGUUUAACAUGCUAACCUCUGUAUGGUACUUUACAUAUUUAAAAUAGACCAUGUUUACACAUAAAAAUGAUUCAAAUAUUUUGUAUUUUCCUUCUUUAUGACUUUUUUCUUUAUAUGUUUAAAUAAUUUGUCACAGAAUGUAACUUGAAAUAAAUUCUGAGCAAUCUUGAUUGGUCAAUUUUAUGAUAUAUUUUUUUUUCUUUUUUUUUUUUGUACCAGAGAUCAAAUUCAGGUCCUUGCGUUUGCAAGGCAGGCAACAGUGCCACUGAGCUAAAUCCCCAGCCCAUAUGAUAUUUUUUAGUUAGCAAACCUAUAAAUGGAAUAUUGUCAGAGAUAAUUAAAAAGAUUAACUAGUGUCUACCUCCUUCAAUCCUGCCACUUUCAACACCUUUUGUAAACAGUUGUGGGAUUAUAUUGACCCUAACACUAAGGACUCUGCCACAUUACUAUUAUCUUAAUAUCUAUUGAUAAGUUGCCUUUUCCAAACCCAUUAGACAUCUAGGAAAACUCUGGACUGAUGAAAGAAUUCCACUCCAGUGGCUGUUCUAUGAAAUAUCUUUAAUACUGAUGAAGCAAAGAUUUGAGAAGAACAAUAAAUUUCCCAGCAUGGUAAAAAAAUCUUGUAAAGACUUUCGUUGCAUAAUUAAGUAGAACUAAUAAGUCUACUGCUAGUCCUGUAUAUUUGAAAUUUCUCAUUAGCAAAAUUUCAAGUUCCAUAAAGGCCUGCUAAUGUUUUGAGGGCUAAAAAUAUUGCUGAUGAUGGCAGAAUUAUUGCUUAUAUUUUUGAGGUAGAAAGUUAUAGGAGUGAGGAAAUAGCAAAUGUGCCCAGAACAGCAAAUGUAUAUAAACUUCUGUCACCAUAUAUUUUAAAAUUGAAAGACAGUUUAAACAUAUGCCGGGUGCAUGCCCACUGUCCCUGUCCUGUACUCCUGCUGGUCUUCCGUGGCUCUCUGCUCCUCCUCCGGCAGCCGCCUGCCCUCCGAGGGAUGCCCGAGAGAGUGCCAGGAGCUCUCCGGAGUCUCAGUGUGUAGCAUUAACCAAC